UAGCUCUGUAACCAGGUAGCGGUAGGUCGUGUCACGGUAGGNUUACCUGCCGGUAANACUGGGAUAACUCCGGGAAACCGGGGCUAAUACCGGAUGGUUGUUUGAACCGCAUGGUUCAAACAUAAAAGGUGGCUUCGGCUACCACUUACAGAUGGACCCGCGGCGCAUUAGCUAGUUGGUGAGGUAACGGCUCACCAAGGCGACGAUGCGUAGCCGACCUGAGAGGGUGAUCGGCCACACUGGGACUGAGACACGGCCCAGACUCCUACGGGAGGCAGCAGUAGGGAAUCUUCCGCAAUGGACGAAAGUCUGACGGAGCAACGCCGCGUGAGUGAUGAAGGUUUUCGGAUCGUAAAGCUCUGUUGUUAGGGAAGAACAAGUACCGUUCGAAUAGGGCGGUACCUUGACGGUACCUAACCAGAAAGCCACGGCUAACUACGUGCCAGCAGCCGCGGUAAUACGUAGGUGGCAAGCGUUGUCCGGAAUUAUUGGGCGUAAAGGGCUCGCAGGCGGUUUCUUAAGUCUGAUGUGAAAGCCCCCGGCUCAACCGGGGAGGGUCAUUGGAAACUGGGGAACUUGAGUGCAGAAGAGGAGAGUGGAAUUCCACGUGUAGCGGUGAAAUGCGUAGAGAUGUGGAGGAACACCAGUGGCGAAGGCGACUCUCUGGUCUGUAAC
rnacentral:rRNA from 1 species